AGAACGAACGCUGGCGGCGUGGAUAAGACAUGCAAGUCGGGCGAGAUUUUUUCUGUAGCAAUACAGGGAAACGUUUAGCGGCGAACGGGUGCUUAACACGUGGGAACGUACCCUUCAGUUCGGAACAACCCAGGGAAACUUGGGCUAAUACCGAAUACGUCCGUAAGGAGAAAGAUUUAUCGCUGAAGGAUCGGCCCGCGUCUGAUUAGCUAGUUGGUGAGGUAACGGCUCACCAAGGCUACGAUCAGUAGCUGGUCUGAGAGGAUGAUCAGCCUCACUGGGACUGAGACACGGCCCAGACUCCUACGGGAGGCAGCAGUGGGGAAUAUUGGACAAUGGGCGCAAGCCUGAUCCAGCCAUGCCGCGUGGAUGAUGAAGGCCUUAGGGUGUAAAGUCCUUUCGACGGGGAAGAUAAUGACGGUACCCGUAGAAGAAGCCCCGGCUAACUUCGUGCCAGCAGCCGC
rnacentral:rRNA from 1 species